UCAGGGUGAAAGGUCGAUCAGGAGGCGUUGGGGCUCAGCCUAGCGAGCGGCAGCCGUAGAGCUACUCGUCCCCGGCGGACAGCUGCUGUUUGCAGCCCAUUGAAUUAGAGCCGGCUCGUUAAGUUUCAGACCCAACUAAAUGGAACGAGCUUCCAGACGAAGUAGUAGAGAACUGAAGGAAUCAAAUGAAAGAGUAGCACAUUCAAGACAGUAUCUGCAGUACAAAUCAAGACAAUCAAGUGUUGUUUGCACUGUACUUCACAACUCU